UGACGUCGGUUCCUCCUCCUGGCUGCAGUGAACCAGGAGGAUUUUACGACGUCGCAGAGAAACUCGGGUCUUUUUCACCCAGGAAGCUUCAGGCUGCAGCAGCCAAUCACAGCGGCUUCCUGGUUUUGCGAGACCCAACAAAC
rnacentral:snoRNA from 1 species